rnacentral:rRNA from 1 species
UGGGGAAUAUUGGACAAUGGGGGCAACCCUGAUCCAGCCAUGCCGCGUGGGUGAGGAAGGCCUUAGGGUUGUAAAACCCUUUCAGCGGGGAAGAUGAUGACGGUACCCGCAGAAGAAGCCCCGGCUAACUCCGUGCCAGCAGCCGCGGUAAUACGGAGGGGGCGAGCGUUGUUCGGAAUUACUGGGCGUAAAGCGCACGUAGGCGGAUUGGUCAGUUGGGGGUGAAAUCCCGAGGCUUAACCUCGGAACUGCCCUCAAUACUGCCAAUCUAGAGUUCGGAAGAGGUAAGUGGAAUUCCUAGUGUAGAGGUGAAAUUCGUAGAUAUUAGGAAGAACACCAAUGGCGAAGGCGGCUUACUGGUCCGAUACUGACGCUGAGGUGCGAAAGCGUGGGGAGCAAACAGGAUUAGAUACCCCCGUAGU